AGGAACUCAUCGGUUCCGUCUUCUCCGAUUGCAAGAAAGGCCUUAGCAAGGUCAAUGGAGUAGUGUCUUGCCAUUCUGGUGCAAGGGAGGCAGUCCUCGGGCUAUGGGCGCACUGGCACGGUACGUGGAGGGCGGCGCGACUAUGUGUUAGGGUUUAGGUUUUUUUCUGAAUUAGUUUAGGUUUUUGGGCUAAUGGGUCUUUUUUGUAUUUGGGUUUAUAAUUUUUUGGGGUCUGUAAUUUUGGAACUGGACUGUUUAAUUAUUUUGGAAA